GGGCGAUUAGCUCAGUUGGUUAGAGCGCUUGCUUCACACGUAAGAGGUCGGAGGUUCGAGUCCCCCAUUGCCCACCA
rnacentral:tRNA from 1 species